UUUGUUACUUCAAACCAAUCGGACUUCGGUCUGACAUCAAGUGAUAUUGAACAAUUUAGCUGAUCGCACGGUCUAAGAACCGGCGACAUAUCCUUCAAAUGUCUGCCUUAUCAACUCUCGAUGGUAGAUUAUGCGCCUACCAUGGUUGUAACGGGUAACGGAGAAUCAGGGUUUGAUUCCGGAGAGGGAGCCUGAGAAACGGCUACCACAUCCAAGGAAGGCAGCAGGCACGCAAAUUACCCACUCCCGGCACGGGGAGGUAGUGACGAAAAAUAACAAGCUGGUCUCAAUGAGUUCCAGCAUUGUAAUGGGAACAAUUUAAAUCUUUUAUCGAGGAUCUAUUGGAGGGCAAGUCUGGUGCCAGCAGCCGCGGUAAUUCCAGCUCCAAUAGCGUAUAUUAAAGUUGUUGCGGUUAAAAAGCUCGUAGUUGGAUCUAGGAUUAGGGCUACGGUCGUUCAGCUUGGACGUACUGUAUGCCCGACUCCUUUUCUCUAGUAUUCGAUUGUUGCUCUUAAAUGAGUGACUUUAGUUGCUGGAACUUUUACCUUGAAAAAAUUGAAGUGCUCAAAGCAGGUU
rnacentral:rRNA from 1 species